AGUUGAGCGGAGAUAUAUGGAGCUUGCUUUAUAUAACUUAGCAGCGAACGGGUGAGUAACACGUAGAUAAUCUAUCCUAUACUGGGGGAUAGCCCGAUGAAAGUUGGAUUAAUACCGCAUAUAGCUAUAUAGUUGCAUGAUUAUGUAGUGAAAGAUUUAUUGGUAUAGGAGGAGUCUGCGGCACAUUAGCUAGUAGGUGGGGUAAAGGCUUACCUAGGCGACGAUGUGUAGCCGGUCUGAGAGGAUGAACGGCCACAAUGGAACUGAGACACGGUCCAUACUCCUACGGGAGGCAGCAGUGGGGAAUAUUGCACAAUGGGGGAAACCCUGAUGCAGCAACGCCGCGUGAGUGAAGAAGGUUUUCGGAUUGUAAAGCUCUGUUAGCAGGGAAGAGGAAGGACGGUACCUGCAGAGGAAGCCACGGCUAACUACGUGCCAUCAGCCGCGGUAAUACGUAGGUGGCAAGCGUUGUUCGGAAUAACUGGGCGUAAAGGAUGCGUAGGCGGUUAAACAAGUUAUAUGUUAAAUAUAUAGGCUUAACCUGUAGAAAGCAUAUAAAACUGUUUAACUAGAGUGCAGGAGAGGUAAGUGGAAUUCCUAGUGUAGCGGUGAAAUGCGUAGAGAUUAGGAAGAACACCAGUGGCGAAGGCGACUUACUGGACUGUAACUGACGCUGAGGCAUGAGAGCAUGGGGAGCAAACAGGAUUAGAUACCCUGGUAGUCCAUGCUGUAAACGAUGGGU
rnacentral:rRNA from 1 species